GGCUUUCAUAGGAUAACCGAGUCAUCCGUUAGCCUUAGGCGCUAACAAUCUUGGCGCAGUCCAAGUGAAAUC
rnacentral:tRNA from 1 species